UACAGAGGGUGCAAGCGUUAAUCGGAAUUACUGGGCGUAAAGCGCGCGUAGGUGGUUAUGUAAGUCAGAUGUGAAAUCCCCGGGCUUAACCUGGGAACUGCAUUUGAAACUACAUGACUAGAGUAGGAUAGAGGAAGGCGGAAUUUCCGGUGUAGCAGUGAAAUGCGUAGAGAUCGGAAGGAACACCAGUGGCGAAGGCGGCUUUCUGGAUUCAUACUGACACUGAGGUGCGAAAGCGUGGGGAGCAAACAGG
rnacentral:rRNA from 1 species